CCUACGGGGAGCAGCAGUAGGGAAUCUUCCACAAUGGGCGAAAGCCUGAUGGAGCAACGCCGCGUGGGUGAAGAAGGUCUUCGGAUCGUAAAACCCUGUUGUUAGAGAAGAAAGUGCGUGAGAGUAACUGUUCACGUUUCGACGGUAUCUAACCAGAAAGCCACGGCUAACUACGUGCCAGCAGCCGCGGUAAUACGUAGGUGGCAAGCGUUAUCCGGAUUUAUUGGGCGUAAAGGGAACGCAGGCGGUCUUUUAAGUCUGAUGUGAAAGCCUUCGGCUUAACCGGAGUAGUGCAUUGGAAACUGGGAGACGUGAGUGCAGAAGAGGAGAGUGGAACUCCAGGUGUAGCGGUGAAAUGCGUAGAGAUAUGGAAGAAAACCAGUGGCGAAAGCGGCUCUCUGGUCUGUAACUGACGCUGAGGUUCGAAAGCGUGGGUAGCAAACAGGAUUAGAUACCCUAGUAGUC
rnacentral:rRNA from 1 species